rnacentral:rRNA from 1 species
UACGAAGGGGGCUAGCGUUGCUCGGAAUCACUGGGCGUAAAGGGCGCGUAGGCGGACUUUUAAGUCAGGGGUGAAAUCCCGGGGCUUAACCUCGGAACUGCCUUUGAUACAGCAUAUCUUGAGUCCGAUAGAGGUGGGUGGAAUUCCUAGUGUAGAGGUGAAAUUCGUAGAUAUUAGGAAGAACACCGGUGGCGAAGGCGGCCCACUGGAUCGGUACUGACGCUGAGGUGCGAAAGCGUGGGGAGCAAACAGG